rnacentral:ncRNA from 2 species
AUGAGAACAGGGGGAGAGACUGCCGCGUACUUGGCAGCGCCGAAGGAGCAAAUAGCGAAAGUUGUGAAUCUCUCAGGCAAAAAGACUCUUGUUUGACG